UUUAUCCACAGAUCUCCCCUGGCGGACUGAACAAACGAGUCGACUCUACGCCUGUCCUCAGUCUAAUUGUGGUCUGACGGCACUCCCCGACAUCAAAGCUCUCCGUUACUCUUGCUGUCUCAUCCUUCUUCUAAGAGUGGGGGAUGUCUGUUUUCUAACACCUUUCGGCCUGCUUAUCUACUCGAUCUGUACACCUGCGACCAACACUGGACAUGGAGGACUAUGACGUUCGCUCGGCCGCCAGCAUCAUGGCCUCGGUGAAAGAGCAGGAGGCGCGUUUCGAGCAGCUGACCCGAGCCCUCGAGGAGGAGCGUCGCAAUGUCACCCUGCAGCUAGACCGCUCCGCCCUGCCUCCCAACACCCCAACCAGCCAGCCGCUAGCAUGGCAGCAGGUGGUGA